GUUUGCACUUGUCGGGGAAGGGUGAGAACCUUCGAUUAAGGUUCGACUCGAGCGAAAGCGAGAGAAUGUUGCCAACGGCAACGGCCCGUAGGGUGAGGAGCGAAGCGACGAAUAAUCCUUCCC
rnacentral:sRNA from 1 species